AUUGAACGCUGGCGGCAGGCCUAACACAUGCAAGUCGAGCGGAGCGGCGGACGGGUGAGUAAUGCCUAGGAAUCUGCCUGGUAGUGGGGGAUAACGUCCAGAAACGGGCGCUAAUAUCGCAUACUAUCAGAUGAGCCUAGGUCGGAUUAGCUAGUUGGUUGGGUAAAGGCCUACCAAGGCGACGAUCCGUAACUGGUCUGCGAGGAUGAUCAGCCAACCUGGAACUGAGACACGGUCCAGACGCCUACGAGAGGCAGCAGGGGGGAAUAUUGGACAAUGGGCGAAAACCUGAUCCAGCUAUGCCGCGUGUGUGAAGAAGGCCUUCGGAUUGUAAAGAACUUUAAGUAGGGAAGCGUUACCAACAGAAUAAGCACCGGCUAACUUCGUGCCAGCAGCCGCGGUAAUAC
rnacentral:rRNA from 1 species